CACACCAAUGAAGGACGAACCAAUGCAUCUCUCAACUGCAAGAACUAAAAAAAGGCUCAAAAUAACCAGCAAAACUUGCAAAAGUGCAACAUUAGCGAAGAAGAAAUCCACUAAAGUCUUCCUCCUAGUAUGGUCACGUCGCUUUUUUCAACUCUGAAACGUAACGUUCCACCUUCUAGAAUUCCAUUCGCGAGAACGCUUUUCCCCUGAAAUCGUUUGCGCUAAUUACCGAGUAAUGUAGCCCUUGCAUUGUAUCUAGGAACAACAAUGGACUCGUUUCAGCUAACCAUAACGAUGUCGAGCCAUUUGCAGCGUUGCCCAUUAGAACCAAUCAGAGAGCACCGCGUUGCGUAAUCCCGUCGAAUACGAUAUGUAUGUACGUCCUCCAACUGCCAUGAUCCGUCGCAACCCUCUCCUGGUUACACACGUCCUAUAUUACCACCCUACCGAUCGGUCUCUCGUUCCUCGUUCGAGCGAAUCUCCGAUCGAAUACAUUCGCGGAGACCGAUAGCACUCUGCCUAUCCGUGAGCGUUGCUGACCGCCCUCUCGAUUACGAGGAUCGUAUUAAUCAUUACCUUCGAAACGUAUCGACCUAGAUCGUUCGACGUUUGCGCGACUGAACCGCGAUUGCUCGCCUCUCCCCCUGCCGACUCGAUCGCGGCAUGUUUAAUGCCCCUUUAUGCGCCAAGGUGUUCUGACGCUUCGAUAACCGCACCAACACUCACGCGUUGUUCCCUUUUGAAGGGAUAUAUCGUGGCUCCAUAGCGCUCGCACGGUGAACAAUGAGAGAGAACGUUGAUGGAUAGUAAUUGGUGCGUGAUUUAGUAUUCCCAUGUGUUGGCAUUUCCAGAGCAAAUUUCGAAAGGGUACACAUGGGACAGGUAUUUUUGACAAAGCGUGAAUUUCGAAACCGUAAAUUGUGUGACAGCGAGCGAUUUAUUGGAGCGAGAGAAAGAGAGAGGGAUGUCAAAAAUAAGCGAUAGGGGAUGGCGUGUGACGGUGAAACGUGGUUCCGCGAACGAGACCGGAGGAUUCGCGUUAUAUUUCGCAAUGGCGUACAAUGGCGGCCGCUAUAAAGAAAAAUAGUCGCCGAAAUAUUCGACGAGAGAGCUUUCCGUGCCAACGUCCGAUCGAUUUACUAGCAUUUACACAAAUAAUUGGUGAUUGUUGCUUCGCACGGCAAAAAUGUUGAGUUAAAUAAACGAUAUUGUAAGCACGA